UUAACAUGUGCGCACCUUUUUCUACAUUAUUGCGACGAGACAAAGCCAUGGCAGAAUGUUGCAGUGCGGUCAGUGCUGCAACUGUGUCUGUUGUCGCCAGAGGGGAGUUACAAUGCGGCACAUUCAUCUUCACAAGUCACUGCAAACUGUUGUUAGUAUGCUGGUGUGAUGGUUUGUUGAGGUUUUUGAACUGAACAUCACCUUCAUCAAACCAAACCCCUUUGUCUGAUAUUGCCAUUGAAACCAGGUCAGGUCAGUGCUGCCACUGAUACUGUGUCUGAUAUCACCAGUAGGGCCAGGUGAGGUCAGUGCUGCCACUGUGUCUGAUAUCACCAGUAGGGCCAGGUGGGGUCAGUGCUGCCACUGUGUCUGAUAUCACCAGUAGGGCCAGGUGGGGUCAGUGCUGCCACUGUGUCUGAUAUCACCAGUAGGGCCAGGUGGGGUCAGUGCUGCCACUGUGUCUGAUAUCACCAGCAGGGCCAGGUGGGGUCAGUGCUGCCACUGUGUCUGAUAUCACCAGCAGGGCCAGGUGGGGUCGGUGCUGCCACUGUGUCUGAUAUCACCAGCAGGGCCAGGUGGGGUCGGUGCUGCCACUGAUACUGUAUCUGAUAUCACCAGCAGGGCCAGGUGGGGUCGGUGCUGCCACUGAUACUGUAUCUGAUAUCACCAGUAGGGCCAGGUGGGGUCAGUGCUGCCACUGUGUCUGAUAUCACCAGCAGGGCCAGGUGGGGUCAGUGCUGCCACUGUGUCUGAUAUCAC